CUAUCCAGUUUAUGACAUAGCCAAUAAGAAAUUCAGUGACAGGCAGUUAUAAAGGAUUUCAUCACAGAUCAUUAAAGCAAGUCAGGAAGAGAUUUCACAGCCUUAUAGCACUUUACCACAGAUAGCCCAUUGGGUAGGGCAUUGUUUUAAUCAUCUUUUCCCUUGAAGCAGAGUUAGGCGUGCUCAAAGAGCAGCACUAUGCAAACUACUGAUUGAAGUCUUUGUUUGAAAUCUCUGGAGCCUGCUACCGUUUCCAGUUCUACCUGCAGGGAGAGUCUGCGGCACAAGCAAAAAUGGAAGCUGAGAGCACGUUGGACUGAUCGAUCCUCAUUAUGAACAAAGGGCCACAAGCUUCAGGCACCUCAAAAGAAUUUGUUAUUGAGGCUGCAGGACACCAACAGUCCCUCUGGUUCUCUAUCUCCCAGGCCAUGCUGCAUGGUGUCCCCACCCAGAGAUGCUGUAAUUCCUGGCCUGGAUUAUGCAGGCACAGAGUGGCUUGCUGACUAUACUACAGGCACUUUUCAGCAGCAUGACAUUCACUU